CCUACGGGUGGCAGCAGUGAGGAAUAUUGGUCAAUGGACGAGAGUCUGAACCAGCCAAGUAGCGUGAAGGAUGACUGCCCUAUGGGUUGUAAACUUCUUUUAUAUGGGAAUAAAACGUUCCACGUGUGGGAUUUUGUAUGUACCAUAUGAAUAAGGAUCGGCUAACUCCGUGCCAGCAGCCGCGGUAAUACGGAGGAUCCGAGCGUUAUCCGGAUUUAUUGGGUUUAAAGGGAGCGUAGGUGGAUUGUUAAGUCAGUUGUGAAAGUUUGCGGCUCAACCGUAAAAUUGCAGUUGAAACUGGCAGUCUUGAGUACAGUAGAGGUGGGCGGAAGUCGUGGUGUAGCGGUGAAAUGCUUAGAUAUCACGAAGAACUCCGAUGGCGAAGGCAGUUCACUGGACUGCAACUGACACUGAGGCUCGAAAGUGUGGGUAUCAAACAGGAUUAGAUACCCCUGUAGUC
rnacentral:rRNA from 1 species